rnacentral:rRNA from 1 species
AUUGAACGCUGGCGGCAGGCCUAACACAUGCAAGUCGAGCGAGAGGCGGACGGGGGAGUAAUGUCUGGGAAAAUGUCUGUUGGAGGGGGAUAAAUACUGGAGACGGUAGAUCAUACAGCACACCAGCAGAUGUGCCCAGAUGGGAUUAGCUAGUAGGUGGGGUAAUGGCUCACCUAGGCGACGAUCCCUAGCUGGUCUGAGAGGAUGACCAGCCACACUGGAACUGAGACACGGUCCAGACUCCUACGGGAGGCAGCAGUGGGGAAUAUUGCACAAUGGGCGCAAGCCUGAUGCAGCCAUGCCGCGUGUGUGAAGAAGGCCUUCGGGUUGUAAAGCACUUUCAGCGGGGAGGCGUUACCCGCAGAAGAAGCACCGGCUAACUCCGUGCCAGCAGCCGCGGUAAUAC